UACGAAGGGGGCUAGCGUUGCUCGGAAUUACUGGGCGUAAAGGGCGCGUAGGCGGACAUUUUAAGUCAGGGGUGAAACUCCAGAGCUCAACUCUGGAACUGCCUUUGAUACUGGGUGUCUUGAGUGUGAGAGAGGUAUGUGGAACUCCGAGUGUAGAGGUGAAAUUCGUAGAUAUUCGGAAGAACACCAGUGGCGAAGGCGACAUACUGGCUCAUUACUGACGCUCGAUGACACG
rnacentral:rRNA from 1 species